UCUUGGUCUAGUGUGAGGCCCAAACCGUGAAUUGAAGAGUGGAAGGGGGAGAGAAGCUCAGAAUUCUUCCUAAACAUGCCUAUGAGCUACCCUCAUCUGAAACAAUAACUACGCCGCGCCAGAAGUUGCCUCCGGCGGUGGUGGAGGUCAAACCUCAAGCAAACUAAUACCAGCGUGUUCGUCUCCCUCAUCUUUAUCAUCAUAUCACAUUAUUUUUCCUUGAUUUCUAACCUAAGUCUUAAACCGAAGAAAUAUUCUUAUGAACCCUAACGAAGCAAACACAAAUUAAAUGGCGAACUUGAGGAAUCAAAGCCUACCAUGUUAGGGCUUUGAUUCCCGAGGCUUGAAGUUACAUCGUGGCCAACGAAUCAAGGCAAGUGGAUGGAAAAGGAGAAAGUCUUACCUACAAGGAUGAGGUGCUCCCCGGUUUUGUAGGAAUUGAUGAAGAUGAAGAUGAACUUCGAAGAAUAACCACCAAUAUUCUGUCAUGAUUUUAGAGUUUGCUUGAUCAUGAAGAAAGAUGAAGGUAUUGAAAAGAAAUGCAAUGGGAAUUGAAUUUAAGAUAUGGGUGAGAUGGAUUUAUAAAAGUCACUAGAAGUCAUGGUCCAAUGUUAAGGGUGAAUGGUCAACUGAAACAUUUUUUUUUAAUUUUCUUCAUGUGGUCUUUUUAUAAUGGUCUUGUAAUGAUUUGUACUUGAAUCUGAAGGAACUUGGAUGUACCUUGUGCCAAAAUCCUUGUAAUAUUCUUGUGUUAAUGAAACUUUUUUACCUUCCAAAACCAAA